rnacentral:tRNA from 1 species
GCGGCCAUAGCUCAGUGGUAGAGCUGCUGGUUUCCACCCAGCGAACCGGGGUUCGAUUCCCCGUGGCCGCU